ensembl:lncRNA
CAAAAACGACACAAAUUUUGCAGAGAAAAUUCAAAAUAACUGACUUCCUGUUGGGAUUCGAACUUUGUACCAAGAGACUUUUUUGUAGGUAUUGGUGUGUUACAUGUGUGUACCGAUUUUUGUACAUGUACGUGAAACGUAGCUCGAGGCGCACUCCGUUGAAAAUGUAUAGGUGGCGCUAUCGAGGCAUUUUGCCACACCCGAUGGAAUAUUGGCCUUCAGAUGUGUUCAGGCCAGGACUCUUAUCAAACAUGUGAAGUUUGGGCAAGAUCGGACAUUUUAUGCCUGAGUUACAAUAACUUUUAUUCCCAUGGCGAGACAUCGAACUUUGUGACGGCGCCAUGGACACGCCCUUUAACGAAAACUCAAGAUCUUCACAAUUUAACAUCGCACAG